UCCUCAUUGGUCCAGUGGUUAGGAUUUCUUGCUUUCACCAAGACAACCAGGGUUUGAUUCCCCAAUGGGGAA
rnacentral:tRNA from 1 species